CAAAAUUGGCUGUAAGCCCAUGUCCCAAUUUCUUUUUGCAAGUCAAAGGACGAGAUGGAGGCCUUGGAGGAUGAAUUUCAUGAAUUAGUUUUAAAUCAAGCAACAACAGCAGCAAGUUCUAGUUCCUAUUCAAACAAAGGUGGUACUCGUACCAUAGUUAAUAUUGAUGAAUGAUCACUGAUUGGGAGGAUGGAAGGUCGCCUUUUGUAUAGGAGGC